GCCAGACUGGCGCAAUCGGUAGACGCCGUGCGUUGAGAGCGUGCGUGUUCCGGGUUCGAACCCCGGGUCUGGCACCA
rnacentral:tRNA from 1 species